GGGCAGAGACGUGAUCCUCGCUGCCGGGACACCACGGAGGUGGGAGGUGCGUCAGCCACGCCCGGAGGCCUGCCACCUCGAGACCAAGCAUCGUAGGAUCGCGGAGGUUCAGCAGUUCCCUCACGGAGAGCAGCACUGGCGUGCAAUGCGCGCUCUCCUCCAGGCCCUGGGCAGGUUGGGGUCGUGUUUUGAGCCGGCCCUCAGCUCCCACUCACCACAGAGAUUCGCCCGUUUGCCCACCCAAGAAGCGCUCACCAAACUGAGGAAAAGCUCUUUAAAUUGGGCGGCAUCGUGCUCCAGGCGCUCGGCCGCCUGGGUCCGCUCAUCCUCACUGCAGCACACGAGGCGGCCCUGCAUCAAUGCGUCCUUUCCGUCCAAUGCACCUGAACUGCGGGGUUCCGCACACGCCAGAAGUCCCUGCAGAACCGCGACGUCCGCUCACACACUCGGUCCAGCAACUCAGAGCUUGACAGCCAUUGGCGCGAGGGCAGAGCUGCGAACAGGGGCUGGGGAAGGGUGAGUCAGAGACGGGGCUGGAGAAAUGAUUCAUAUCUGGCAGUCUCCACAGACCCCGCUUACUUGCCCCGUUUCUCCACCUCCCACCCACAUUUUGACGGGAAGGAAGCCUCACUUGGAGC